rnacentral:rRNA from 1 species
AUUGAACGCUGGCGGCAGGCCUAACACAUGCAAGUCGAACGGUAGCAGGAAGCAGCUUGCUGCUUCGCUGACGAGUGGCGGACGGGUGAGUAAUGUCUGGGAAGCUGCCUGAUGGAGGGGGAUAACUACUGGAAACGGUAGCUAAUACCGCAUAAUGUCGCAAGACCAAAGAGGGGGACCUUCGGGCCUCUUGCCAUCGGAUGUGCCCAGAUGGGAUUAGCUUGUUGGUGGGGUAACGGCUCACCAAGGCGACGAUCCCUAGCUGGUCUGAGAGGAUGACCAGCCACACUGGAACUGAGACACGGUCCAGACUCCUACGGGAGGCAGCAGUGGGGAAUAUUGCACAAUGGGCGCAAGCCUGAUGCAGCCAUGCCGCGUGUAUGAAGAAGGCCUUCGGGUUGUAAAGUACUUUCAGCGGGGAGGAAGGGAGUAAAGUUAAUACCUUUGCUCAUUGACGUUACCCGCAGAAGAAGCACCGGCUAACUCCGUG